UAGUCCAUUUGCUAAAUUCUCAUCUAACCCUAAAUUCUACCAAGUCUUUAUAUUCCGUUACCAGAAUCCAACCCAACCACGUAGAAGCAGUGCGGCGGUGGCCCUUCGGAAUCCUCAGAUGCCAGGCCACUUUUCCAGCCAAAUGAUGGUGGUUUGGUUCGAUUUUGCUGCGGUUUUCGGUGUGAAAUCUUGAGCAAAUCCUUAAUAAGGAUGCUCAAUAAGGACUUUGAAGAUUAUGAGCAUCGUGAAGAUCGCAAGAGGAGUUCAUCAAAAUUGCCGAAAUCGAAAGGCUUCAGAUUUGCAAAUUGCACGACGAAGUAUGUGUUAUUUUCGGCUGGAAUAGCUGGUGUUUUGAUUCAUGAAAUUUGUCCAAAUUGGAUUCUUUGUAUUCUUAUCAAUCGCAGCCUAUUGUAGUAUUGUAUUAGAGGAUGAUUUACUAUUUGUAAUAAAAGAUAAUAUGGGUUGUUUUUAGGCACCAAUGCCUUUUUUUUUAGUAGAUUUACUUGAGCUAUAAAAUGAGAAAAAGAAAUCCUUGUUUUCUUCUUGUGCAAA